rnacentral:rRNA from 1 species
UGGGGAAUCUUGCACAAUGGAGGAAACUCUGAUGCAGCGACGCCGCGUGAGCGAUGAAGCCCUUCGGGGUGUAAAGCUCUUUCGACGGGAACGAUAAUGACGGUACCCGAAGAAGAAGCUGCGGCUAACUACGUGCCAGCAGCCGCGGUAAUACGUAGGCAGCAAGCGUUGUUCGGAAUUACUGGGCGUAAAGAGUGCGUAGGCGGUGCUCUAAGUCUGGUGUGAAAUCUCCCGGCUCAACUGGGAGGGUGCGCCGGAAACUGGAGUGCUAGAGUGUGGGAGAGGUAAGCGGGAUUCCUGGUGUAGCGGUGAAAUGCGUAGAUAUCAGGAGGAACACCUGUGGUGUAGACAGCUUACUGGACCACGACUGACGCUGAGGCACGAAAGCGUGGGUAGCAAACAGGAUUAGAUACCCUGGUAGUCCACGCCCUAAACGAUGCAUACUUGGUGUGAGCGAUUCAUUUCGUUCGUGCCGGAGCUAACGCGUUAAGUAUGCCGCCUGGGGAGUACGGUCGCAAGGCUG